CAGUAGCCGCGGUAAUACAGAGGGUGCGAGCGUUAAUCGGAUUUACUGGGCGUAAAGCGUGCGUAGGCGGCUUCUUAAGUCGGAUGUGAAAUCCCUGAGCUUAACUUAGGAAUUGCAUUCGAUACUGGGAAGCUAGAGUAUGGGAGAGGAUGGUAGAAUUCCAGGUGUAGCGGUGAAAUGCGUAGAGAUCUGGAGGAAUACCGAUGGCGAAGGCAGCCAUCUGGCCUAAUACUGACGCUGAGGUACGAAAGCAUGGGGAGCAAACAGGAUUAGAGACCCCUGUAGUCCCUGUCUCUUAUCC
rnacentral:rRNA from 1 species